UCCGAGUUGACCCCGGCAGUCUCCUUAGAGUGCCCUUGCGUAGCAACUAAGGACAAGGGUUGCGCUCGUUGCGGGACUUAACCCAACAUCUCACGACACGAGCUGACGACAGCCAUGCAGCACCUGUGUUCCCGUUCCCUUUCGGGCACACCCGCCUUUCAGCAGGCUCCAGGACAUGUCAAGGGUAGGUAAGGUUUUUCGCGUUGCAUCGAAUUAAUCCACAUAAUCCACCGCUUGUGCGGGUCCCCGUCAAUUCCUUUGAGUUUUAACCUUGCGGCCGUACUCCCCAGGCGGAGAGCUUAAUGCGUUAGCUGCGUCACCGACACGCAUGCGUGCCGACAACUAGCUCUCAUCGUUUACAGCGUGGACUAC
rnacentral:misc_RNA from 1 species